rnacentral:rRNA from 1 species
AGUGAACGCUGGCGGUAGGCCUAACACAUGCAAGUCGAACGGCAGCACAGUAAGAGCUUGCUCUUACGGGUGGCGAGUGGCGGACGGGUGAGGAAUACAUCGGAAUCUACUUUUUCGUGGGGGAUAACGUAGGGAAACUUACGCUAAUACCGCAUACGACCUACGGGUGAAAGCAGGGGAUCUUCGGACCUUGCGCGAUUGAAUGAGCCGAUGUCGGAUUAGCUAGUUGGCGGGGUAAAGGCCCACCAAGGCGACGAUCCGUAGCUGGUCUGAGAGGAUGAUCCAGCACACUUGAACUGGGAACAGGUCCAGACUCCUAAGGGAGGCAGCAGUGGGGAAUAUUGGACAAUGGGCGCAAGCCUGAUCCAGCCAUACCGCGUGGGUGAAGAAGGCCUUCGGGUUGUAAAGCCCUUUUGUUGGGAAAGAAAAGCAGCAGGUUAAUACCCCGCUGUUCUGACGGUACCCAAAGAAUAAGCACCGGCUAACUUCGUG